AGUAUAAAACAAAAAAUAAAUCGAAAAAAUCCACCCCAGAUAGCGUCACCAGGGGAGCCUAGUGUUAUAACCUGAGACGUAAUCCAAUUUCUUGUAUAUGUUUAUUGGUUCUAACAACUUUGAUAGAAAGGCACGUCUGAUGUAUAGCUAAAUCAGAAUUACUUGUAUGACUAGCUUGUAGCCUAUCAAAAUCCAAUGCUUAUUAUUAGCUUAAUUUGCCCCUCUCAUGGUUCUCUUGCCCUGCUCUUAAAUUGGCUUCCCCCAACUCCCACUCUCUUAUUCUCGGCUCCUUGUCCCCUGCUCUUCUUUUCCCAUACUUGUUCUCUACUCCUCUAACUCUUCUCCUUCUUCAUGGUCACGAAUAACAGUUUAUAAGCCAGGGAUUACAGGGGAACCCAGAAUCUAGUAACUUGUGUAGUAUUUUGAUGGGAACAAAGGAGGGAAUAAAUGGUGAUCAUCGGGCAAGUUCGGAGGAAACCCAGAAGAUAUUGAUGGUAUUCGUGGGCUGGUGUGGAUCGUUUUUAGUGAGCUUGACAGGGGGGUUGAUAUUGGCUUGGUGGGUUUAUGAAUUUCACCCUGCAAAUAGACAGCUAUGGAUGGUGCCGUUUGGUCUGGUUCUCUUUGUUACUCCGCUCAUUGUUUGGUUGUCUGUCUUAAUUUCGGAAAUCUGUAGCUGGAAGAAUGGACAUGUGCCAUCCGAGACUCAAGUCGUGCCUUCACCGGACGACUCCAUUCCUGACCCUGAGAGAUGAUCAAAUAUUGACUCCCUUUGGGCCUUGUUAUUGGCGUUUGUGAAUUUAUUUAUUGCUUUCUUCUUCUUCUUCACUUUGUUUUUCUUAAAAAAUGGUUUUCUUGUUAUCGAAGCAUAUAAUAAUUAUAAUAGUUAUCGAAGCAUAUAAUAAUUAUAAUAGCACUGUCA